AAAUUGAAGAGUUUGAUCAUGGCUCAGAUUGAACGCUGGCGGCAGGCCUAACACAUGCAAGUCGAACGGUAACAGGAAGCAGCUUGCUGCUUUGCUGACGAGUGGCGGACGGGUGAGUAAUGUCUGGGAAACUGCCUGAUGGAGGGGGAUAACUACUGGAAACGGUGGCUAAUACCGCAUAACGUCGCAAGACCAAAGAGGGGGACCUUCGGGCCUCUUGCCAUCAGAUGUGCCCAGAUGGGAUUAGCUUGUUGGUGAGGUAACGGCUCACCAAGGCGACGAUCCCUAGCUGGUCUGAGAGGAUGACCAGCCACACUGGAACUGAGACACGGUCCAGACUCCUACGGGAGGCAGCAGUGGGGAAUAUUGCACAAUGGGCGCAAGCCUGAUGCAGCCAUGCCGCGUGUAUGAAGAAGGCCUUCGGGUUGUAAAGUACUUUCAGCGGGGAGGAAGGUGUUGUGGUU
rnacentral:rRNA from 2 species